GGGGGGGAGAUAAGGGCGUUUGGGGAGAUUCGCCGUCGUAACUGGGAAGGGUGCCUGUCAGGCAUAGUUAAAGCACAUUUACCUGCUCGGAGCUAUAGAUCAUAAUAAUCAGGAACAUAAAGCAAAAACUGUUAAGUCCUGUGCGGUUUGAAACAUAAAGCAAAAACUGUUAAGAAAUAUAAAGCAAGAACUGUUAAGUCCUGUGCG